GAAAGGCAGGGGGUGUAUCUGACAGCUGGAGGAGGGCCCGUCACACGGUUAUGAAAUCCAGCCUCUGAAAUAACUGGCCGUGGGCCAGAACCAGAGCCAGGUGCAGUGACCACCACGGAGCUGACACCUGGAUUUUUGGUGGACACACGUCAGUCUGCAGCAGCAGCGAGGUAAACCGGCAAUGACUAUGCCAUGUGAAAAACGCUGCGUGGACCGCCUCGGAAGCAUCAGAGGAGAGAUGGCCCUUAACCAGCCCCAAGGGUCAGGAAGCAGCCUGGGGACCAGGCGGAGGCUGCUGCCAAGGUCCGGGCAAGAGACGAGGAAGACCAGGGAAGGCUAUGGAGCUCCGCCCCCUACAGCUUUCCAACCAAGAGCAGCUUCGGUGAAGGUGGACCUGGCGUGGAGGUGAACUCCCAUGGAGGGUCAGGAAUCACAGGGCAGUGGUCAUGGUCUGGAGCAAAGAGGAAGCCAUGGAGGCACCGCGAACUUGGGAGGGGACCAUCAAGAGAGGUAGGAUGCCUGGGUUGGGACCCUCGCUCUGCCGCAUGGAGUUUUACCCCUCGGAAGCGUCCUUCACCUUCCUGCACCCCUAUUUCCCCAUCUGUGAAGUGGAAGUCUCUCCCCAAGGAGUGUGGUGAGGACUGAAGUAGUGCUUCAAGUAGUAACACUUCUCACUUUGUACCCAGGCAAUGAGAGGUAUUGCUACUAUUUUUAUUACUGUUAUCACUGAUGGGAUGCUGAUGUGAUAAGCAGCCAGAGUGGACAUUGUCCACCGAGUAAAGUCCAGCGCCCUGGGCCCCACAUGCUCUGACUCACCUUUCCCAUCAUCCCCUAAGGACUGGAUGACCUUUCAGCAGAUGCUCAACCAGCAGGUUGAAUAAAGGAGAGAAUAAACCCAAUGCAUGCUC